ensembl:snRNA U6 U6 spliceosomal RNA
AUUUGGCAACAAAUGGAUCCUGAAAUGGCAAUGAUACAGAAAAGAUGAGCAUGGUCCCUGGGAAAAAGUAACAUGCAGCUUUGUGAAGUGUUAGUUGUAUUA